AUUGAACGCUGGCGGCAGGCUUAACACAUGCAAGUCGAGCGAGCGGCGGACGGGUGAGAAAUGUCGGGGAAACUGCCUGAGGGAGGGGGAUAACUUCGGGAAACGGGAGCUAAUACCGUAUAACAUCAGGUGCGCCGAGAUGGGAAUAGCUAGUGGGUGGGGUAAUGGCUCACCUAGGCGACGAUCCCUAGCUGGUCUGAGAGGAUGACCAGCCACACUGGAACUGAGACACGGUCCAGACUCCUACGGGAGGCAGCAGUGGGGAAUAUUGCACAAUGGGCGCAAGCCUGAUGCAGCCAUGCCGCGUGUGUGAAGAAGGCCUUCGGGUUGUAAAGCACUUUCAGCGAGGAGGCGUUACUCGCAGAAGAAGCACCGGCUAACUCCGUGCCAGCAGCCGCGGUAAUUC
rnacentral:rRNA from 1 species